GAUGAACGCUGGCGGCGUGCCUAAUACAUGCAAGUCGAGCGAACAGACGAGGAGCUUGCUUCUCUGACGUUAGCGGCGGACGGGUGAGUAACACGUGGAUAACCUACCUAUAAGACUGGGAUAACUUCGGGAAACCGGAGCUAAUACCGGAUAAUAUAUUGAACCGCAUGGUUCAAUAGUGAAAGACGGUUUUGCUGUCACUUAUAGAUGGAUCCGCGCUGCAUUAGCUAGUUGGUAAGGUAACGGCUUACCAAGGCGACGAUGCAUAGCCGACCUGAGAGGGUGAUCGGCCACACUGGAACUGAGACACGGUCCAGACUCCUACGGGAGGCAGCAGUAGGGAAUCUUCCGCAAUGGGCGAAAGCCUGACGGAGCAACGCCGCGUGAGUGAUGAAGGUCUUCGGAUCGUAAAACUCUGUUAUUAGGGAAGAACAAAUGUGUAAGUAACUGUGCACGUCUUGACGGUACCUAAUCAGAAAGCCACGGCUAACUACGUG
rnacentral:rRNA from 1 species